UUCAAACGGGAUAGCUCAGUUGGUGGAGCAUGAGACUCUCAGGGUUGUGGGUUCAAGUCUCACACUGGGCGAAA